GACGAACGCUGGCGGCGUGCUUAACACAUGCAAGUCGAGCGGUAAGGCCCUUUCGGGGGUACACGAGCGGCGAACGGGUGAGUAACACGUGGGUGACCUGCCCUCAGCUCUGGGGAUAAGCCUGGGAAACCGGGUCUAAUACCGGAUAUGACUCCAGGACGCAUGUUGUGGGGUGGAAAGCCUUGUGCGGCUGAGGAUGGGCCCGCGGCCUAUCAGCUUGUUGGUGGGGUGANGGCCUACCAAGGCGACGACGGGUAGCCGGCCUGAGAGGGCGACCGGCCACACUGGGACUGAGACACGGCCCAGACUCCUACGGGAGGCAGCAGUGGGGAAUCUUGCGCAAUGGGCGAAAGCCUGACGCAGCGACGCCGCGUGAGGGAUGACGGCC
rnacentral:rRNA from 1 species